rnacentral:miRNA from 1 species
UGUGACAUCACAAUGUUCCAUUGUGAUAUCACAAUGCUUGUUGUGCCAACACUAGGCCCUAUGUGCUAAUAUAUUGCUCCAUGUGCCAUCACAAU